AUGGCCAGCAAAGCCUCAGUCUUCCAUGGCAAGAGGAAUGAUUACUAAGAAGAGUGCCUGAUUAUUAUUGAUUUAUCAUUAUUAUUAUCUUGAAUAAUAAAAAACAACAACAACA
rnacentral:ribozyme from 1 species